rnacentral:rRNA from 1 species
CAGCCGCCGCGGUAAUACAGAGGGUGCGAGCGUUAAUCGGAUUUACUGGGCGUAAAGCGUGCGCAGGCGGUUAUAUAAGACAGAUGUGAAAUCCCCGGGCUCAACCUGGGAACUGCAUUUGUGACUGUAUAGCUAGAGUACGGCAGAGGGGGAUGGAAUUCCGCGUGUAGCAGUGAAAUGCGUAGAUAUGCGGAGGAACACCGAUGGCGAAGGCAAUCCCCUGGGCCUGUACUGACGCUCAUGCACGAAAGCGUGGGGAGCAAACAGGAUUAGAUACCCCUGUAGUCCCUGUCUCUUAUAC